GCGGCGGGCUUAAGAACCUGAUAAAUGCUGGUCAGAUUUAGAAACCCGCUCCCGUAGGGGUUCGCGGGUUCGAAUCCCGCCCCCCGCA
rnacentral:tRNA from 1 species